GGAACCCUUCUUUUAUAUAUACAUGAAUUCGCUAAGUCCUCGGAUCCCUCAAUCCGGUAAUACGCUGCCAAAUUGAAAGAGUUCAAAUCGCUUUUUAUAUCCGGCUACGAAGGGGGAUCUAUUAACCAGCAUAUUGACAAAUUCCCGACAGCGAUAAUGAUUUUGAAGGGGAACGGAUAGCUGCAUUCAUGGUUUCAGGAAACGUGCAGAACUUUUUCUCUACGGAAAAAGAAGUUUGGUUUCAAAAUUUUACAAGUAAGCGAGUGCUUACGAUUUACUUGUGUAAUAGAAAAAUAUUAAUGAAUGUUGUUAAAACUGACUUUUAUUAUUGAUAUCCCCACGUGGAUGUCCACAUUUCAAGUUGAAAGUGCUUUUCAUGAGCGAGGCUUCCU